CACGUAGGGUGCGAGCGUUGUCCGGAAUUAUUGGGCGUAAAGAGCUCGUAGGCGGUGUGUCGCGUCGUCCGUGAAAACCUGCAGCUUAACUGUGGGCGUGCGGUCGAUACGGGCAUCACUGGAGUUCGGCAGGGGAGACUGGAAUUCCUGGUGUAGCGGUGAAAUGCGCAGAUAUCAGGAGGAACACCGGUGGCGAAGGCGGGUCUCUGGGCCGAUACUGACGCUGAGGAGCGAAAGCGUGGGGAGCGAACAGG
rnacentral:rRNA from 1 species